AAUGAACGCUGGCGGCGUGCCUAACACAUGCAAGUCGAACGAGAAAGCUGGUUUCGACCGGCGAGUAAAGUGGCGUACGGGUGAGUAACGCGUGGGUGACCUACCCUGGGAUCUGGGAUAACACUGCGAAAGUGGUGCUAAUACCGGAUACGAUCCUGCAGUGAUGCGGGGUGAAAGUCGGCCUCUCGAAGAAGCUGAUGUUCUGGGAUGGGCUCGCGUCCUAUCAGCUAGUUGGUAGGGUAAUGGCCUACCAAGGCGACGACGGGUAGCUGGUCUGAGAGGAUGAUCAGCCACACUGGCACUGAAACACGGGCCAGACUCCUACGGGAGGCAG
rnacentral:rRNA from 1 species